AUUAUUUACAGACUAGUGCCAUAUGGCUGGAAUAUUGCUGAGUGCAGCGUUAAACAACAAACAAACAAACAUACCAUUAUUUCCGUGUGGUUAGAAUAUACUACUACUGACUAUAGAUAAUCUAUCACAACCAGAUUGUUUUUGUGAUAUAUCAACUACAGUAAUGUGAACAAAAUAUCUGUUUGUAUCUUCUUUUUUCGAAGUAUAUCAAAAUGAUGAACACUAUAUAUUAUUUUGUGAAUAAAAAUAUAAGAUAUUUCCCAAAAUGUCUCAAAAAUAAAUUGUAAACUUUGCACAGUGGUUAAUAAGUUUUCCUCCGUUAUAAAAUGCAGACAACUUCUCUAAAUUUUCUGUUGCAAAUUUAAUAUCUACAUUUUAUUACAACUCUUUCUCUCAGCCUUCUCAUCAGUGGACUCCUUAGGUAUAUGUGUGAUAAAAAAGGUGAUGGGUUUGAAAAUAAUUCAAAUUCUAAGGAUGUUUAAUAAAAAUCUUCUGCCAAUACAAGGAAGCCAAAAAUUUUUUCAAUUUUGGGUGCUGCAUAUCAUAAUUUCCUUUUUUAGAUAUUAACCCAGUCAGAUCAUAAUGCACUCCUUUAAGUUAUGUAAACAUUUCAUGGUGAGCUGGUACAGGUGAAACAGAAGUGUCAGGAAGAGCUUACAUUUUAUUUAUUUUUUUAAGUUCAGGGUAUUGUUCAUUUCAUGAUAAACUGCUGACUUGGUUGACACAUGUCGUCGUAUCCCAGUUGCGUAGAUAAAUGCUCAUGCUGUUGAUGACUGGAUUGUCUGGUCCAGAUUUGAUUAUUUACAGACCACCGCCAUAUAGCUGGAAUAUUGCUGAGUGCGGCGUUAAACAACAACCGACCAACCAAUCAACCCUCAUGAAGAACUCUGUUGAGAUGAAAGCUCUCAUAUUUGUGAAACAGAUAUGAUAUCACCUUGGACUGCAAUGAAGUCAUCAUACAGCAGAGAACUAUAUGCUUGAACUGACCAGGUGCACAGAAUGUUGAAAAAAAACACACACUACUAAACCAAUUUGUUCUGGUACUUAUAUAUCAGUUCAAAAGUUAAUAAACAUGGUCUCCAUUUCAUCAGGUCAAAUGUCACAUUUGCAAAUUUGGGAUUGACCAAAAAAUAAAAAUAUUAAGAAACAUAUUCAUUCUUCAUGAAUAGUCCUGGAGAAUGCCAGACUGCAAACACAAGUAACAUUUUUCAUUUAUUAGGAUUGCUGUUCACACUUGUCAGUCCAGAAGUUGUCCUUCUUCAUGGGGGAAC